rnacentral:sRNA from 1 species
AUCGGAUACGAUUAAAGGAAACAUGCAGUAGCGGGAUGAGGAAAACUGUGUGCGGUUUUCCGCCCGCAUCCCGCUAACUUCUUAGUCGAUCACGUUCAUGUUUUUAGGUCGACCCGACCUAAAAACAUC